rnacentral:rRNA from 1 species
GACGAACCGUGCGAACGUUGUUCGGAAUCACUGGGCUUAAAGGGCGCGUAGGCGGGCCGCUAGGCCCGCGGUGAAAUCCCCCGGCUCAACCGGGGAAGGGCCGCGGGGACCGGCGGUCUGGAGUGGGGUAGGGGCGCGCGGAACUGUGGGAGGAGCGGUGAAAUGCGUUGAUAUCCACAGGAACUCCGGUGGCGAAGGCGGCGCGCUGGACCCUCACUGACGCUGAGGCGCGAAAGCCAGGGGAGCGAACGGG